CUAUUGUAAGCCUUUUUAACAUAUUACUAGUUUAAUCCACACAUCAAUACUAUUGACAGGCAUCAGUGCUAUUAUCAUCCCCCGAUUAUAUAUCAGGAAACUGAGGCACAGGGAAACUGAAGUGAUUUGGCCAAGGUCACAGACAAGUGUGUGGUAGAGUCAGGGUUUAAAUCCAAGCCUUCGGCUCCCAAGUCCUUAUUUUUUUUACCCACUACUCAUGAGCGCAGAGCACCAGCCUGAUGGGACGUGCUGGAUCUGAAAUCCCCAUGGGCUUUUCUCCUACCUCCAGCAUUAUGAUGUCAGCAGCAGAGCCAGCAAUGAGGACGCAGGGCUCAGGGAUUCCUGUCCUAGACAGCUCCCCAUCCCCCUCAUUCCAGCCCCACCGUAGGAUCUGGUUGGGUCUGGUUGGGUAAACAGGCCAUCACCGCUGGGAAAGAGAAGUAUCAGCCUAAGAACAAUUCAGGAGCUAUGCCAUCCAUCUCCCUAGAAACCUGGGGCAGGGCUGGUCCAGCUGAUGCUGCCUGUUCUCCAUCCUCACCAGGGCUGUCCCUCUCCCUCAGUUUCCAGAGCCUAGACCUGGGAUCCCACAGCAGGCCCCGCGGAAGCCAUGACCAUACUGAACAUACUCUUUGCCUUCUCCUGUCCUAUAUCCCACCAUUCCAAGUCUUCUUAAGUGAGGAGACAUCUCCAGCCUUGCUUCAAUAUGUGCUUUCCAACUUCUGCACCUGUUUUCCUGCGGUUCCCUCCGUCUGAAGGCUCUCCCACUCUCCUCUGGAAAGACUUCCAUCUCCCUGCAGUUUCAGGAUACAGUCCAAGACGCUGGGCUUGGCAUUCGAGGCUCCAGGAGGCGCCCUUUCCAGCCCCACUUCUGCCAGGCACUGCCCUGUGCUCUGUUCACAGCGACCUGUGAGCUGCAUCCCCAGCCUGUGCCUCCUUACCCUGCUGUCUGCACCCGGUCCUGUCUGCCUGGAGCACUCUUCCCCCGACUUUCCCCACCCAGCUCACUCCCAUCAGACUUCAAAACAGCUCCAGGCAGCCUUCCCUGGGCCCCAGGUUGGGCUAAGCCCUCUCCUCUGCAGUGUCACAGCCCGGUCUGUGCCACAGCCCUGAUCCACUGGGUUGUCACAGUUUCCACCUCCAGCUGCCCCCAGGAUGGGUCCCCAACAUUACCCAGCAUGCAGCCUGGCACAGGGGCCCUGGGUGGACCUGGAUUGUGGGUGAGGUUUCAAGGCCCCUGGAAGAUGGCUCCACAGGCAGUGAGAAGUGGAGGAGAGGACAGCGUGGGGACCACGACAGGUGAGGUGUGGGGUCCGGGGCACAGGGAGUCAGAGAGGCCAGAGGGGUCUGGGGACUGGGUGCUCCAGGGCUUGGUUCGUUGA
rnacentral:lncRNA from 1 species